rnacentral:rRNA from 1 species
UACAGAGGUGGCAAGCGUUGUUCGGAAUUACUGGGCGUAAAGGGCGCGUAGGCGGUCUUUUAAGUCUUGUGUGAAAUCCCUCGGCUCAACUGAGGAACUGCACGGGAUACUGGAAGACUUGAGUUCGGGAGAGGGAAGCGGAAUUCCGGGUGUAGCGGUGAAAUGCGUAGAUAUCCGGAGGAACACCGGUGGCGAAGACGGCUCCUGGACCGAUUACUGACGCUGAGGCGCGAAAGCUAGGGGAGC